UCCCUGGUAGCCUAGUGGUUAAGGAUCUUGCAUUAUCAUUGCUGUGGCUCAGGUUUGAUCCCUGACCUGGGGA
rnacentral:tRNA from 1 species